rnacentral:tRNA from 1 species
GGUGAGAUGGCCGAGUUGGUAAGCAGCCCUGAACAACUAGCCCUUGUCAAUCACUAGUGCUAACAACUGUCAUAGGUUAUGGCGCCAGGUUAAGGACACCUUAAUAUGUUUCCUGGUGGAGCAAUCCUCAUGGGUUCGAAUCCCAUUCUCAUCA